CGCCUAACAUGGGGCUUGAACCCACGACCCUGAGAUUAAAAAUUUCAUACUUUACCGACUGAGCUAGCCGGGC